rnacentral:tRNA from 1 species
GGGUACGUAGUUCAGUCUGGAAGAACAGCCAGCAUCGAGCUGGAAAGCCCUUGGUUCAAGUCCAAGCGUGCCCA